rnacentral:lncRNA from 1 species
UGAAUCCUGAGGCCAACACAGCAAGCUCACCUGUGCAGAGUCAGGACAGGGACUUUUGUGAGCCUGGGGGCGGGGGUCUGUGCCUGGGCACCAGGUCCCUGCUGUACAGGUCAAGGGGAGGCCCCAGGCUCUUGCUGGGAGCUCCAUGGAAUUGAAGAGGAAGGUGAUGCCCUUCACGUAGACCAAGACACACUGUGGCUGUACUGCCCCGGUGGAUGUGCUGCCACCUGGUCUUCCUCAGGGCAUGGGAAAAGUUGCUGGGCCCUGGGUUUGGGUUUGAAGGCCUUGACCCCAUGGGGCCUCCUUCUCCCUUUCCUGGAGCCAUGCUGUGGGUGAUAGAACCAGCGGGUACCUGGUCACUCUGUGUCCCCAGAGCAGAUGGGCCGCAUCCUGCAGCGCACUGCCAUCUCCACCAACAUCAAGGAACGCCUGGACUUCUCCUGUGCCCUCUUUGGACCUGACGGGGGGCUGGUCUCUAAUGCCCCCCACAUUCCUGUGCAUCUGGGAGCCAUGCAGGAGACUGUGCAGUUCCAGGUGCGGCAGGCCCCCUCUCUAGCCUCCCUCGCUGACCCAUGUCCCUGCCCCACCCCCAUUCUGCACCUGUCUCCUGGUUUUAGAUCCAGCACUUGGGGUCUGAUCUCCACCCCGGUGAUGUGCUACUCAGCAACCACCCCAGCGCAGGGGGCAGCCAUCUUCCAGACCUGACUGUAAUCACACCGGUGAGGUUCACUGCCAGGCUACCUUUGUGGGGGUCACAGGUGGCUGACACAGCUGACUGUCACUCUCUACCCGCUAGGUAUUUUGGCCAGGUCAGACUC